GAACCGUUUAGCUAACACUGUUGACGCUCAUGUUUUUAAGCAGCUAAGAAUCAAGUGGACCACUUCAAUCUGUAAAUAUAAACACAGUAAUGCUAUUGCCAUUCAUUUGCCUGACCUGCCAGUCCCUCCUACAUAUUUCUUCUUGGCCCGUUUGUCUGAGUCCAAAAGUUCACUGGAUUUGUCCUCGUCCUCCUCGUCAUCUUCCUCAUCGUCGUCAUCUUCAUCGUCCUCGGGCAGAUCCUCCAGGUCGCUGCUGAGGGACCCAUCGCUGGAAAUGUCGGAGGAAGAUCCCGAUUCACUGUGGCUGGCUGUGGAGCCGUCUGCUGGCUUCUUACGUGACUUCUGGAUCAAAAGAGAACAACAAAAUAUCUCAUCUGAUCUUUGUAUAAUGUAUAAUGUUUAGCUUCUUCCAAACUAAAUAUAACAGCAAAGUAGGACAGUUGACUCUAAAAAUAACUCUCACUUUUGUUUUCAUUUAUAUGUAUGCAUUCACAGUUUUGUUUUCCGCAUUUGAUUGUUCUGCUAUAAUCAUUUAGAAUCAAUUAGCAUACAUUUUCAAGCCUGUUGUUUGCGAAAUUUUAGUGAUACCAGUAUUGUGUUGUGUUUGGAUUAGUGUUAAUUAUGCAGAGUAAAAAGUUUUGUCAUCAUCUUCA